UACGUAGGGUGCAAGCGUUAAUCGGAAUUACUGGGCGUAAAGCGUGCGCAGGCGGUGAUGUAAGACAGGUGUGAAAUCCCCGGGCUUAACCUGGGAACUGCAUUUGUGACUGCAUCGCUGGAGUGCGGCAGAGGGGGAUGGAAUUCCGCGUGUAGCAGUGAAAUGCGUAGAUAUGCGGAGGAACACCGAUGGCGAAGGCAAUCCCC
rnacentral:rRNA from 1 species